UUUACAUGUUGUUCUUCCCCAAAAUGUGAAAUGAGAACCCUAAAAUCUCAAGUUUCUCUCUAACUCACACUAAGCUUCAAUUUCAAUUUCAAUUUUCUUCAGGUAGUUUUUGUGGAUGAUUCUAGACCCUUGUAUCAAAAAGUUGCUGGAUCUUUCAUGAACAAGUUUUUCCCCUCUGGUUAUCCAUACAGGUGUUUUUCAAAUGCUGCAAUUUGUGUCUGAUUUUUCUUCACCCAUGCAGUUUCAUCUUCAAGUGAACUAUCCAGUUUGACCCUCAUUUUUUCAAGCCAAAUUGUAGCCACUUCAAUAUGGAUAGCCAUGACAGCGUUUCGGACUUCGAGACAGAAGAACAUAUUGGUUCUGCACAUCCAAUUUCUAAUAAUGUUGGUUUGUUGCCUCAAAAGCGUAAAAAUCGAUCUGAAGCAUGAAAUCAUUUUAGUCCAAUGCCGUCGAACACAGAAAUGUCAAAGUUAGCAAAAUGCAAGCAUUGUGGUUCCUUGAUCAAGUAUAAUGGUGGAACAAGUGCGAUGCUAGCUCAUUUGAGAAGAUGUAGUGAUAAUCCAGAUAAUACGGUGAAUGGGACGAGGCAUGAACCUUCUUCAAGCUCAACGAAAAAUAGGGAAGCGGUUGUUAAUUCACCCCCCUCGGUUCCCAAAUUUGACCAAGAAGUAAGCCGAAUGGACUUGACAAAAAUGUUUAUAGCCAUGGAACUUCCGUUUCAAAAGGUAGAGCACCCAUAUUUAAAUAGGUUCAUUUAUGGCUUACAACCAAAAUUUAAGUUUCCAUCACGCAAUACGUUGGCACGUGAUGUUUUGAAGAAUUGGGAUGCGGAGAAAGCAAAGAUGAAGACUAUUUUGUCACAAAAUUGUCGUCGAGUUUGUAUCACUA